rnacentral:pre_miRNA from 1 species
GAUCAUGCUUUUCCACAGCUUUCUUGAACUUUCUUUGUUUUCCAUCAUAAAAGAAUUAGCUAAUAGCUAGAUAUACGUAUAUAUAUAUGUGUAUGUAUAUACCAUGGAAGCUCAAGAAAGCUGUGGGAGAACAUGAUAA